rnacentral:rRNA from 1 species
CAGCCGCCGCGGUAAUACAGAGGGUGCGAGCGUUAAUCGGAUUUACUGGGCGUAAAGCGUGCGUAGGCGGCUUCUUAAGUCGGAUGUGAAAUCCCUGAGCUUAACUUAGGAAUUGCAUUCGAUACUGGGAAGCUAGAGUAUGGGAGAGGUUGGUAGAAUUCCAGGUGUAGCGGUGAAAUGCGUAGAGAUCUGGAGGAAUACCGAUGGCGAAGGCAGCCAUCUGGCCUAAUACUGACGCUGAGGUACGAAAGCAUGGGGAGCAAACAGGAUUAGAUACCCGUGUAGUCCCUGUCUCUUAUAC